AUGCACAGGAACAGUGGAAUAAAGAUAUCUCUUGUGGUGGAAUUUCAAGUUGCUAAGAGGUAUGCAAAAGUGUACACCGGUGUGGACCCCCCCCCAUCCCCCGCCCAGUCUGCACGUGAACAGGAACACGUACCUGCACGUAUACCAGGUACAGGCAGACAGAUGCGGGCGAUCCCCAGAGCCGCCGACAGAGGUCGCUGCGAGACGGUACCCGCGUCCCGGAGUCCCCCCGCGCCCCGGAGUCCCCCGCGCCCCGGAGUCCACCCGCGCGGGUCCACUUCUCCAUCCCUGCUUUCGACCCCGGCCCCUGCAGCGGGGGAAGUUCCUGGGGCGGUGACUGGGACCAGGCCGGGUUUUAGGCGGGCGCAGAUUUCCGGGCUAACUUUCCUCGCCGUCUCAGCGCGGGGAGGGGGAAAUGGGAAACCCGGCGAGAGCAGCGGAGCUUCCCAGCCGCACACUUCCUCCCUCCAGCCGUUUGUCUCGCCGGGGAGGGCCCUGGCAGCCAAGCCGGCAGUCCCACUGGUUAUCCGACCUUGUGCUCUUGCGGGGGGUGGAGACCUUACCUCCAGCUCAGAGUGCCUCCUCCCAUCCCCUGUGUUCUCUAGGCCUCCCCAGACUUUGCCUUUUAGCCUUCCAGUGAAACAAGUUCUGUAUCCAAGAUAUACAAUUAAGUGGACAAAGCAGAUUGCAGAAAGUCUUUUGGUAGCUUACAAGGGGACAUCAAAGAUGACAAAGAGGAGUGGAAGAAGACAGAAUCAAUGUGAGGAGCCUGGAACAGGGCUCUGAAUCGUCCUCCCACAAUGAAGUCACUUGGCUAGAGCUGAGCCACGAAUUUGACUCUGAGCAUCUAGGAUGAAAAAGAAGAACUGGCACCUAUGCCAUCUCUGCCCCUCGGGACUGACUACUUUGGUAAGUCCAGUUCACCCACAGAGGAAGUAGUUCUCAUACUUUCUCUGCAUAUAACAACAAAAUUCAGGUUCUUGGGGCUGAUGCUUGGGGAUUGUGAUUCAGAUCUGGGAUUGGGCUCAGGAACCUGCAUUUUAACAGUGGAGGUUCUAAUGUGGUCACUGGCAGGUUGUUCUGAUGUGGAGGCCACAGCCCACUCUCUGAGACAGGUCGUACACUUGUGUUCCAUUGCCUGGAGAUACAACCUAUGCUUCACUCAUCUCUGGACACCCUGCACGGCCAGCCAGCGUUCUGGUAAUAACAGCCGAAUGCCCAUUGACCUGAUUUUGGAGAAGAGGUUUAUUAACAUGUCCCACUUCACAAUCCAGACCCUGAUCCCAGGCAAAAUGAACCGAUACCCAUAAGCUUUCUAUGGCUUACCCUAUGGACGAGGAAGGUCUACUGACAGAGGGCAUGCUGAGCUGCAAGGUUAAUGUGACUGACGAUUAAGCUGUGAGAUGGAGGAAACCCCCUAAAAACCAAAAAUAACUUCAAGAAUUUUUUUGGCCACAAAAACGUAUUUUCUCCUAGAAGAAUGCUUUGAUCAUCUAGUACACAUUUCAAAUAAAGGAGAAGCCAUGUGUACUUAUAACAAUUAAAAUGUUUAGAAGAUUACGUAAGCAAUACCUGUAUGCAUCCUACUGUAAAAACUUCAAACAAUACAAAUAUACAUAGCAUACAAUGUCGAAGCCCUGAUUCCUGUGGCUUCCAGGGGUUACCAUUGCCAGCAUUCCUGCAGAGCUUCUCAAUGCUUCUCUAUGUAUUUAUAUCUAUCUGGCUGUAUAAAUGGGAUCAUACUGUACAUAUUGUUCGGCAAAUUGCUCUUUUCUUGCAACAGUCUAUUUUGUAUUCAGUCACUUGCGGUGACUUCCUAGAGGUCACUUGAACAGAUUUCACAUCUACAUCAAUUAGGUUGCCCUGGGUGUAGUUUUCCAAGGAGC
ensembl:lncRNA